CUGUGCCAAUGGUGCGGAGCCUGCUUGGGAUCUUCUCUGUCUCUGCCCCUUCCCGGCUCUCUGUCUCAGAUGAAAAAAGAAAAAAACACACAAAACCAAACCAACUGGAAUUGUUAUAAGCCAAGCUGCGAAUUUGAUUGGCUCCUAUGUGAGGAAAAGAGUCCAAAAGCAAUAUAGUUGCAGCCAGGGCUGGCUCCAGGGGUUCCACUCUUUAGGGAAGCUGUGUCUCUAAGCAGGAAUCGCCCCCCCACCCCCACCCCUCCACCCCCCGGCUUCCAACAUUUUCAGUUCAAGUCCCAGAGGGACAUAGAAUACCUUUCACUGUGGCCAGAGCCCCAGGAUUGACUCUGAAGGUAUCUGAUGGGGUCAGUUGCCUUUCCCUGGACAUGGAAAUGGAGUCAGCCCCACGCAAGCCACAGGGGGCCUAGAAUGGGAGGGUGCUGAGCCCCCUCCCCCCUCAAGAUAACCGGGGUGUUCUUACCAGCAGGAGGCAGGAAGUGUGGUCUUUUCUAGUCCUGCUAAAAGGAAAGAAAGAGCUUUUUGGAAAUCCCUGAUGCAGAGAAUCCAGUAGCUGCGGGUGGUAGUUGGCGUGGAGGGUGUGGAGGCGGGGGUGCACCAAGGUGGGGAACUUGCGCGUUUGGUUGUGAGGUCGAUGAGUCCAGGAGGACAGGAAUCUGGGGGCCUAAUAGCAGCAUUGACUAUGCGGGUGAGGCUCUGGAAGGGAGUGUCUGUCUCUUUGGGUGUCGGCUUCUGCCAAGAUGAAAGCUCUCCCUGGAGGCCUGAAUGUUCUCCUAGAUAGUAGCCUGUAGGUAAGUCAGGGUUGCAAACUCCAAGUCUCAGGGGGCCAGGCUAAUAAGAAAAUAAGAGUGACUUAGACCAGGUGAGGGCCGUGGGGGACCCCACGGCGCCUGUCUUACCAAAGGGCCACGUGAGAAUAUGAGCCUGCUGUCGGGCCCGACCUUUGGAGUUGUUGAGAAAGGCCUCAAGUCUGGAUUUUCAUGAAGAUGAGGUGGCAUUUAAUGCCAAUGGAAAACAGCCACCAGGACCCUGAGCGGGACUAAAGAAAACACAUCUGUGGCCAGAUUCGGUGUGUGGGUCACCAGUGGGCAGUUGCUUGUGGAAAAGGUUGGGGAGGUGAAGAUCCCUGUGAUGAUUUUUCUCUUUUUCCUUCUGUGCCCCACCCUCCUAUUACUACCUUCUCAGUUCUUGGAUGUGUCGACGAGCUCGUCAUUUCCUUUACAGAAACGUUUCAGAGAUCCAAGAGUAGCAAUCAUCACUACUUCUCUCUUGGUUUGGUUUACCAAGCGCUGUACCGAACCACCUGGCCUGGUCUCACCUACUGGUGCUUGUUAUCAUUUCUGGUUUAGAGAGAAGAAAAAUGACCUGGCGUUGUCUGCCCGGCCAGCGAGUGGCCGAGGCAGGACUUGGGGCUGGGGUGUGACUCCGGACCCCGUGUGUUUCCGACUGUAGACACUGGGCCAGCUGCCCGCCAGGGAAGGGCUCCUGUGGAUGAAAUGUCUUUGGUGCUUGCUGACUUGCUGGCCUAGAUGCUUUUGAGUCAAGUCUCUCGCUGCUUUCUCCACAGCAACUCCCAGAGGUGAUGUUAUUUAUUCCUGGUUUAAUGAUGAGGGAGCGAGGACUCAAAGAGGUCAUCGGGGUAGUUAAUAAGACCGCUGCCGUUCAUCCGAAACCAGGGUUCUGCUUCCAAAGCAGAUAGAAGUCCUUACUUCACGGAAGGCAACUCUUUUCUUUAAGAAACCCCGUGUUAGAAUUCCGUGUGACGACGCUUCUACAGAAUCCUGGAAGCUGAGAGUUGGAUGUUGCUCUCGUCCAGGGGCUCCCGCCAGGGAUGGCCCCCUGGGGGCCAUUUGGCAAUGGCCGGAGACGUUUUUGUUUUUGUCGUGACUUGGCUCGGGCGUGGGGUGCUCCUGGCAUCUGGCGACACAGGCCGGGGAUGCUGCUGACCAGCCUACACUGCCCAGGACAGCCUGGCCGCACAGAAUUAUCUGGUCCCAAAUGUCAAGAGUGGUGAGGUUGGGAAAGCCUGGUCGAGUCCUUUGAGAUUCUGGAUGCGUGAAUCGUGAAAACCAAAGAUCCGUGAUGUCUGCCUGCAGGGUGAAGGCACGUUCCGUUUGGUCUGUUCCUUACGUGUGGAAGCAUUUCUGACAGUCAUUGGCCCAUAUUGAACACUUGGGAGUUUUCACGUGGAAACCUGGGCUUCCUGCUGCUUCUCAAAUCUUGCAAGACCUGGCGAAGCCUGGCAUUGCGCCCUCGCGCAGGGGAGGUGGCUGUGCUUGGUUCGCUUCAGUCUGGGUGGAUCCCGUCCAGCCUCUGCAUAGAGCAGAGGAGGAGAGGAAUGUGUUCUCCCCACGACUUCUGAAUCCGAGCUUCCGUGGCCUGGUCAUCCACUGUAUUACCUACUGUGAAAUCAAACAGGGUUGUUUAUAGGUGAGUGAAGAAAGCCCGUGGUUCACUGAACCAAAAUGAACCCUAAACAGAUGUGCUCACGUGUGGCCUUAUGGCGUUGGUUUUACACGUGAAGGCAGCAUGUUAUUCUCAGAGGAAACGAUGUCUGUGGUCGUGGUUCCCAGUGUGUCCACGGCAGCCUCCUGCCCCUGAAAUUGGACAUGCGUGUAUGGUAUAGGGUCCCAGAGUCAGUAUGCACACCACGCAGUCUUGUCGGACUGGCGAUGUGUGGCCUUUAUCAUUCUGUUUCUGUGUCUCAAAUGUAGGCAGAUGUCCUCGUAAUCAAUCCAAGUAUAGAUCCACGUACAAAUAGUAUUACACUCCUA